rnacentral:lncRNA from 1 species
UUCAGUUGUUACAAAAUAACAGAAAUAUAGAAAACUUGUUCGUAUUCACAGCAUAUACUACUGACAGUUUCAAAACACAAAAAAUCAGGACCUCGAAUUCGGGGUAACCCCUUUUCAACUAUACUGACUUUUGAACACCCAAAUUUAUAAUUGUUUGAGCUGCUGCCUUUUCCUUUUCUUUCUCUUCAAGUAUCCUUUUUUCUGCUGCAUCAAGGGAAACUAGAAAUUGUUGGUCAUCCCAUACUUCCUUGUCAAAACUUAGUCCCGGUUCAAUCAGUAGUUCAUAUGCUAUUGUACCCCUCAUCAAGUCCAUUGUUUCCACUCCAUAGUCUGACAAAAAUAUUUCACAUUCAGAAAUUGCGUGCUCCAUGAAUUUGAUAACAAACAAUGCGCAGUCCACCCUGAAAUAUUUAAUUAAUGCAUAAAUCAAAUUGCAUUCAUCGUAAUAAGGAAUAACAAUUCAAAAUUCUAAAGCUUACGAAGAGCCUUGAUGCGGCAAAUCAGGUGCUUCAUUUAUAGGACCAUCUUUGUAACAAACAUCUCCAGGUUUGAUUAGUUUCUUGUUCAGCAAAGGAGUGACAUAUUUGGCCUGUUUCAAAUGUUUAAACUUCGGUAAAAUUCUAAAUCAUUAUAAAAUUGUUACAAAACUACAAUAGUUUAAGAAAGUUAACUCACAAUGGCUUUACAAUCGCUCAGAAUACGCUUGUCGAAAGCUUUGUUUCCAGCAAGAGAGUUAUAAAGAGUCGAUCCAAAACCUUUCUCGAGCACAAGAAGACUCCAAUGAUACCCAGCCCUGUCUCUAGCAGUUCUU